GACGAACGCUGGCGGCGUGCCUAACACAUGCAAGUCGAACGGAGAAUUUUAUUUCGGUAGAAUUCUUAGUGGCGAACGGGUGAGUAACGCGUAGGCAACCUACCCUUUAGACGGGGACAACAUUCCGAAAGGAGUGCUAAUACCGGAUGUGAUCAUCGUGCCGCAUGGCAGGAUGAAGAAAGAUGGCCUCUACAAGUAAGCUAUCGCUAAAGGAUGGGCCUGCGUCUGAUUAGCUAGUUGGUAGUGUAACGGACUACCAAGGCGAUGAUCAGUAGCCGGUCUGAGAGGAUGAACGGCCACAUUGGGACUGAGACACGGCCCAAACUCCUACGGGAGGCAGCAGUGGGGAAUCUUCCGCAAUGGACGAAAGUCUGACGGAGCAACGCCGCGUGAGUGAUGAAGGAUUUCGGUCUGUAAAGCUCUGUUGUUUAUGACGAACGUGCAGUGUGUGAACAAUGCAUUGCAAUGACGGUAGU
rnacentral:rRNA from 1 species